rnacentral:rRNA from 1 species
UGGGGAAUAUUGGACAAUGGGCGCAAGCCUGAUCCAGCAAUGCCGCGUGUGUGAAGAAGGCCCUCGGGUUGUAAAGCACUUUUAUCAGGAGCGAAAUCUGCAAGGCUAAUACCCUUGUAGUCUGACGGUACCUGAGGAAUAAGCACCGGCUAACUCCGUGCCAGCAGCCGCGGUAAUACGGAGGGUGCAAGCGUUAAUCGGAAUUACUGGGCGUAAAGCGUGUGUAGGCGGUUUGUUAAGUCUGUUGUGAAAGCCCCGGGCUCAACCUGGGAAUGGCAAUGGAUACUGGCAAGCUAGAGUGUGAUAGAGGAUGGUGGAAUUCCCGGUGUAGCGGUGAAAUGCGUAGAGAUCGGGAGGAACAUCAGUGGCGAAGGCGGCCAUCUGGAUCAACACUGACGCUGAGACACGAAAAGCGUGGGGAGCAAAACAGGAUUAGAUACCCUGGUAGUCCACGCCCUAAAACGAUGCGAACUGGAUGUUGGUCUCAAACUCGGAGAUCAGUGUCGAAGCUAACGCGUUAAGUUCGCCGCCUGGGGAGUACGGUCGC